GGGUUGUGAGGUUAAGCGACUAAGCGUACACGGUGGAUGCCCUGGCAGUCAGAGGCGAUGAAGGACGUGCUAAUCUGCGAUAAGCGCCGGUAAGGUGAUAUGAACCGUUAUAACCGGCGAUUUCCGAAUGGGGAAACCCAGUGUGAUUCGUCACACUAUCAUUAACUGAAUCCAUAGGUUAAUGAGGCGAACCGGGGGAACUGAAACAUCUAAGUACCCCGAGGAAAAGAAAUCAACCGAGAUUCCCCCAGUAGCGGCGAGCGAACGGGGAGGAGCCCAGAGCCUGAAUCAGCAUGUGUGUUAGUGGAAGCGUCUGGAAAGGCGCGCGAUACAGGGUGACAGCCCCGUACACAAAAGCGCAUGUGCUGUGAGCUCGAUGAGUAGGGCGGGACACGUGGUAUCCUGUCUGAAUAUGGGGGGACCAUCCUCCAAGGCUAAAUACUCCUGACUGACCGAUAGUGAACCAGUACCGUGAGGGAAAGGCGAAAAGAACCCCGGCGAGGGGAGUGAAAAAGAACCUGAAACCGUGUACGUACAAGCAGUGGGAGCACCCUUCGGGGUGUGACUGCGUACCUUUUGUAUAAUGGGUCAGCGACUUAUAUUCUGUAGCAAGGUUAACCGUAUAGGGGAGCCGUAGGGAAACCGAGUCUUAACCGGGCGUUAAGUUGCAGGGUAUAGACCCGAAACCCGGUGAUCUAGCCAUGGGCAGGUUGAAGGUUGGGUAACACUAACUGGAGGACCGAACCGACUAAUGUUGAAAAAUUAGCGGAUGACCUGUGGCUGGGGGUGAAAGGCCAAUCAAACCGGGAGAUAGCUGGUUCUCCCCGAAAGCUAUUUAGGUAGCGCCUCGUGAAUUCAUCUCCGGGGGUAGAGCACUGUUUCGGCUAGGGGGCCAUCCCGGCUUACCAACCCGAUGCAAACUGCGAAUACCGGAGAAUGUUAUCACGGGAGACACACGGCGGGUGCUAACGUCCGUCGUGAAGAGGGAAACAACCCAGACCGCCAGCUAAGGUCCCAAAGUCAUGGUUAAGUGGGAAACGAUGUGGGAAGGCCCAGACAGCCAGGAUGUUGGCUUAGAAGCAGCCAUCAUUUAAAGAAAGCGUAAUAGCUCACUGGUCGAGUCGGCCUGCGCGGAAGAUGUAACGGGGCUAAACCAU
rnacentral:rRNA from 1 species